rnacentral:rRNA from 1 species
AAUGAACGUUGGCGGCGUGGAUUAGGCAUGCAAGUCGAGCGAGAAUUUGCGAUUGGAAGCUUCGGCCGAAGAAAGUGAAGGAAAGCGGCAAACGGCGUAGUAAGGCGUAGGUACGUACCCUCGGGUCGGGAAUAGCCAUGGGAAACUGUGGGUAAUGCCCGAUAAUCUCUGCGGAGCAAAGGUGUGAUUCCGCCGGAGGAGCGGCUUACGUGAUAUUAGCUAGUUGGUGGGGUAAUGGCCUACCAAGGCAACGAUGUCUAGGGGGUGUGAGAGCAUGGCCCCCACGACCGGAACUGAGACACUGUCCGGACACCUACGGGUGGCUGCAGUCGAGAAUCUUCCGCAAUGGGGCGAAAGCCUGACGGAGCGACGCCGCGUGGUGGAUGAAGGCCCUUGGGUUGUAAACACCUGUCAGAGGGGAUGAAAUCAUGGUUGGCAAUCCUUCCAUGUUGACAGAGCCUCAGAGGAAGCACGGGCUAAGUACGUGCCAGCAGCCGCGGUAAAG